AGAGCUGGAGCCGGAGCCGGGCGGGCGCCAUGGAGGGGCUGCGGCGGGGGCUGUCGCGCUGGAAGCGCUACCACAUCAAGGUGCACCUGGCGGACGAGGCGCUGCUGCUACCGCUGACCGUGCGGCCGCGGGACACGCUCAGCGACCUGCGCGCCCAGCUGGUGGGCCAGGGCGUGAGCUCCUGGAAGCGCGCCUUCUACUACAACGCGCGGCGGCUGGACGACCACCAGACGGUGCGCGACGCGCGCCUGCAGGACGGCUCGGUGCUGCUGCUCGUCAGCGACCCCAGGUAGUCUGGGUUGGAGGAGGCAGAGCCAUGACCAAGGGGACCUGGGUACUGGCUGAAGGAAUAGGCUGGGGUAGAGGGCACUUUUGGAAGGCACUUCUCCUGCCUCCCGGGAGCCUAGAUCUCACUCCAGGUGGCAGAAAACAGCCAAGUUCCAAGAGAAUCGCUUGAACCCAGGAGUCAGAGGUUACAGUGAGCCGAAAUCACGCCAUUGCACUCCAGCCUGGCGACAGAGCAG
rnacentral:lncRNA from 1 species